CAAAGGCUUGGUCCUGACUUUGCCAUCAACUCCAACUAAACUUACACAUGCAAGUAUCCGCAUCCCCGUGAGAAUGCCCCACAGUUUCCUGAAGGAGGAAACAAGGAGCUGGUAUCAGGCACAAUAUCCUUUAGCCCACGACACCUUGCUAAGCCACACCCCCAAGGGAAUUCAGCAGUGAUAAAUAUUAAGCCAUGAGUGAAAACUUGACUUAGUUAAUGUUAACAGGGUCGGUAAAUCUCGUGCCAGCCACCGCGGUUAUACGAGAGACCCAAGUCGAUGGCCCUCGGCGUAAAGAGUGGUUAAGAUAUACCCAAAACUAAAGCCAAAUGACUUCAAAGCUGUUAUACGCGCAUGAAAGUACGAAGCCCAAUCACGAAAGUGGCUUUAAGCCCCUGACUCCACGAAAGCUAUGACACAAACUGGGAUUAGAUACCCCACUAUGCCUAGCCCUAAACAUUGAUAAUAACCUACUUAUUUUAUCCGCCCGGGUACUACGAGCGUCAGCUUGAAACCCAAAGGACUUGGCGGUGCUUUAGAUCCACCUAGAGGAGCCUGUUCUAGAACCGAUAAUCCCCGUUAAACCUCACCUUUCCUUGUCAUUUCCGCCUAUAUACCGCCGUCGUCAGCUUACUCUGUGAAGAGCCUGUAGUAAGCACAACUGGUAAAGCCUAAAACGCCAGGUCGAGGUGUAGCGAAUGGAAAGGGAAGAAAUGGGCUACAUUCAAUAUUUAAUAAUGAACACGAAUGAUAUCAUGAAAGAGAUGUCUGAAGGAGGAUUUAGCAGUAAGUAGAGAAUAGAGCGCUCUACUGAAACCGGCCCUGAAGCGCGUACACACCGCCCGUCACUCUCCCCGAGCUAACCAAAACCAUUACUAAUACACAAAAACUGCAAAGGGGAGGCAAGUCGUAACAUGGUAAGUGUACCGGAAGGUGCGCUUGGAAAAACU
rnacentral:ncRNA from 1 species